rnacentral:rRNA from 1 species
CCUACGGGAGGCAGCAGUGGGGAAUAUUGCACAAUGGGCGGAAGCCUGAUGCAGCGACGCCGCGUGAGGGAUGAAGGCCUUCGGGUUGUAAACCUCUUUCAGCAGGGACGAAGCGUGAGUGACGGUACCUGCAGAAGAAGCACCGGCUAACUACGUGCCAGCAGCCGCGGUAAUACGUAGGGUGCGAGCGUUGUCCGGAAUUACUGGGCGUAAAGAGUUCGUAGGCGGUUUGUCGCGUCGUUUGUGAAAACCCGGGGCUCAACUUCGGGCUUGCAGGCGAUACGGGCAGACUUGAGUGUUUCAGGGGAGACUGGAAUUCCUGGUGUAGCGGUGAAAUGCGCAGAUAUCAGGAGGAACACCGGUGGCGAAGGCGGGUCUCUGGGAAACAACUGACGCUGAGGAACGAAAGCGUGGGUAGCAAACAGGAUUAGAUACCCUGGUAGUCCACGCCGUAAACGGUGGGCGCUAGGUGUGGGUUCCUUCACGGGAUCUGUGCCGUAGCUAACGCAUUAAGCGCCCCGCCUGGGGAGUACGCGCAGACAACUACAAGAAUAGACGCGNGAGACGNGCGAGCGACGACGAGGAGAG